rnacentral:tRNA from 1 species
UAGGGGUAUAGCCAAAAUUCGGUAAGGCGCUCGGUUGUUACCCGAGUACAUACAGGUUCGAAACCUGUUACCCCUGU